CCUGGUCCGAAAGGUCGAAAACCCCAAAACUAAACAACACAGACACACAACCAAACUCAUCUAUCUCUCUCUCACAUUUCCACUUGACAUCGCCGACACUUCAAGACAUUAUAUUAAAAGAAACAAAAAAAUAAAAAUAAAAGAAAGUAAACUCUUUCUUCACCCCCAGAAACAGAAAGAAAGUAAAGAGAAAAAAAAAUUAUUGUUCCAAUCUUUCCGAUCCAACAGAGCUCCAUGGAUCGUCGCAUCUAUGGUGGCUCCGCCGCCAUUAAUCUCAUUCUCUCCCUCCUUGUCUUCUCCUCCACAUCUGCAUUAUCCAAGAAGAACCAGAUUCCUUCCUCCGGGUCGGGUCAGAUCAACUCCAACUCCGUCCUCGUAGCUCUCCUCGACUCCCGUUACACGGAGCUCUCGGAGCUAGUCGAGAAGGCUCUCCUCCUUCAGACACUCGAGGAAGCCGUUGGCCGUCACAAUAUUACCAUCUUCGCCCCUCGCAACGAAGCUCUGGAGCGUGAACUUGACCCUGAGUUCAAACGGUUCUUGCUCGAGCCAGGUAAUCUCAAAUCUCUCCAGACGCUUCUCAUGUUCCACAUUAUCCCCAACCGGGUCGGGUCGGAGCAAUGGCCCAAGGAAGACUCGGGUCGGGUCAAGCACGACACUCUAGGGAACGAUCACCUCCAUUUGAUUAACGGAGACGGCAAGAAGAUGGUAGAUUCGGCUGAGAUUAUCCGACCCGACGACUUAACCCGACCCGACGGGUUGAUCCACGGGAUCGAGCGGCUUCUCAUCCCCCGCUCCGUCCAAGAGGAUUUCAACCGCCGCCGCAGCCUCCAGUCGAUCUCCGCCGUCUUACCGGAAGGAGCUCCGGAGGUUGACCCGAGAACCAACCGUCUCAAGAAAAAACCCGCUCCGGUCCCCGCCGGAGCCCCGCCGGCGCUCCCGAUCCAAUCCGCGAUGGCUCCAGGUCCGUCGCUAGCUCCGGCGCCGGCGCCGGGACCGGGAGGGAAGCACCACCACUUCGACGGCGAGGCGCAGGUCAAGGACUUCAUCCACACUCUGCUGCAUUACGGCGGCUACAACGAGAUGGCGGACAUUCUCGUGAAUCUGACGUCGCUCGCGACGGAGAUGGGUCGUCUGGUGUCGGAAGGGUACGUGCUGACGGUUCUUGCUCCCAACGACGAAGCCAUGGCGAAGCUGACGACGGAUCAGCUUAGCGAGCCUGGAGCUCCGGAGCAGAUUGUGUAUUACCAUAUUAUCCCUGAGUAUCAGACGGAGGAGAGUAUGUAUAACUCUGUGAGGAGAUUUGGGAAGGUGAAGUUCGAUACGCUGCGUUUUCCUCAUAAGGUUGCGGCUAAGGAGGCUGAUGGUUCGGUUAAGUUCGGUGACGGUGAGAGGUCGGCGUAUUUGUUUGAUCCGGACAUUUAUACGGACGGUCGGAUCUCGGUUCAGGGGAUUGAUGGUGUUUUGUUCCCUGAAGUGGAGGAAGUUGUUGAAUCGGUUAAGAAACCGGUUAAGAAAGUUGUUCAGCAGAGAAGAGCAAAACAGGGAAAUUGUUGGAAGUAACAUGUAGAAUGCUUGGUGCUAUUGGCAAGGACAGUUACCUCAGCAAAUGCCUGUGAAUUCACAAACCCGCAAAAGACACACAUUCGAAAAGCUGACUCAAGAUUUGGCAUUGGUUGAAUAGUAAACUGCACAGAGGAUAAUAAUCUUCCAUGGAGUGAAAAUGAUGUUUUGCUUUGUUUUCUUAAAUAUAUAUAUCUUUUGAGGGGUGUUUUAUACUUGGUCUUGGAUUAUGAAUACUGUAAAUUAGAUUAUACCAAUCAUUUAUUUAUUUGUUUUUGUGGUGUAUGAGACUGUGAGUACAAUCAAUAAAAAAAGGGAAACAAAACCUUUUCUUUCA